rnacentral:lncRNA from 1 species
UAUUGUUUUGAAAUGUAGAGGGAGAUCAUUAAUAAACAAUUUUAUCAAACUCCUUUACCAUUGAUAGUGAAGAUAUGAAAAGUAGUUCUUAAUAUAUAAAUUGUCACACUUGAUAAUUCCUUUCUACCAACUGUCUCAUUUCUGUCAUCUCUAAUAGAAGAAAUUUUGGAAAUCCAUUUCAGCUAAAUUUAUCUGAUCAUUGAAAACUCUUACCUGAGUGUGUUUUUCACAUAUCUUAUUUUGGGUGAAAUUCGCCACCCCCGCCCCCACAAUUUACCCUUGAUUAAGGUCA